GACGAACGCUGGCGGUAUGCUUAACACAUGCAAGUCGAACGCGACGGUUUCGACGGAGCCCUUCGGGGUGACGAUGGAACUAGAAAGUGGCGAACGGGUGAGUAACGCGUGGGUAACCUACCCUAUGGAGAGGGAUAGCCCCUGGAAACGGGGAGUAACACCUCAUAUUAUUGAGGAUUCGCAUGAGUUCUUAAUGAAAACUCCGGUACCAUAGGAUGGACCCGCGUCCCAUUAGCUAGUUGGUGAGAUAACAGCUCACCAAGGCGACGAUGGGUAGCCGGUCUGAGAGGGCGAACGGCCACACUGGAACUGAGACACGGUCCAGACUCCUACGGGAGGCAGCAGUGGGGAAUAUUGCGCAAUGGGGGCAACCCUGACGCAGCAAUACCGCGUGAGUGAAGAAGGUUUUCGGAUCGUAAAGCUCUGUUAUGGGGGAAGAAUUUUGACGGUACCCCAUGAGGAAGUCCCGGCUAACUACGUGCCAGCCGCCGCAGUAAAAC
rnacentral:rRNA from 1 species